AAAAGCCUCACAGGAAGUUAUAUUUGACGUGCUGGUUGUCGCUAAUUAACUUCCGCUAGCAGCUAGCAGCUAACGGCGGUGAAGAUGUCCCGGUCCGGUCGGUACGGAGGAGAGAGUAAGGUGUACGUGGGGAACCUUGGUACUGGUGCAGGUAAAGGUGAGCUGGAGCGAGCCUUCGGGUACUACGGUCCUCUCAGAACCGUCUGGAUCGCCAGGAACCCUCCAGGGUUCGCCUUCGUAGAGUUUGAAGAUCCUCGAGAUGCUGAUGAUGCUGUUAGAGGCUUAGACGGCAAGAGCAUCUGUGGGAGUCGUGUGCGGGUGGAGCUCUCUACAGGAAUGCCGCGGCGUUCUCGGUACGAACGGCCGCCGGCCCGUCGGCCGUUCGACCCGGACGAUAAAUGUUACGAGUGCGGAGAGAAAGGUCACUACGCCUACGACUGUCAUCGCUACGGCCGCCGCAGCCGCAGGAGCAGGUUCCAUCGUUUGAUUCAGAUCCUAAAAGCUUUCAUGACUAAAGCUGAACUGAACUGUAAAGGUCUGUGGCGGCUCAGCCAUACCAGCGCCACCUUGUUAAUUCGGCCUUCAAUUUUAAUGAGGAACAGACCCGCCUCGCUGCUAUCAAGUCUCAAUCAAGCAAUUUGGUGUCAGUUCGAUCAUCGUUAGAAUCUACUAGAUCAUCUAGAUCUGCUAGAACCGCGUCCAAAGAGGGUCGCCCUGCAGACCUGCAGGACCUGAAGGUUUAGUGGAUUCCAGUCUUUGUUCUUCUUCUGCAUGAGUAACGUUCACUGCCAGCUGUAGUCCUUCACUGUGAUCCUUCCUCCUCUGACUGUUCUCCUGGUUCUGGUCCAGGUCCAGGUCUCGGUCUAGGUCUCGAGGGAGGAGGUUCUCUCGCAGCCGCAGCCGAGGGAGAAGGUCCAGGUCUUCCCCAGAAGGUCUCGCUCUGCCACACCGAGGAGGUCCAGGUC